CUCUGGGCCAACGCCGCGGAGCCGCCCGGCCCUGCCGAGCUCCGGGCCCCAGGCCAGCACCUCCUGGCUGAGGAGUGCCCGGAAGCAAUCCUAUAGGUGUCGCCGCGUCGCCCCGCCGCGCAGCAGGGCAGCGCCAAAGCCGCUGGCCCGCGGGGAGGGAAGGAAAGGGAGCCUCACGCCUUAUUUUUCUUUCACAAUUCUGGCCAAAGAAAGCAGUAACUCAUAAUCAGAAGAGAAUUUAUCAUGAAGUUAAUUAAGCUGUGUACCUAAUUUUGUAUCUGUCAUCGUGUAUUCUUAAAAGAAGACUCCGACAUUGUAUAAGUUCUGGAUCUGAACAAAACCUGGAUAAACUCUGGUGCUUUAUUAACUUGAUGAAGAUUAGUGACACUGAGGAAUACUGAGGAACCAGGCUCUAUUCCACCCCAUCCCCUUCAUACACACCUCAUUCCAAAUGCUAUCCUGUCACAGCAGAUGCCACAUCACUUUUGGGGUGGGCUAAGAGAUCAAGAAUUGCCAUAAUAUUGAUUUGAAAAAGGAGACCUGAGCACAUAAGUGAUCAAAAACAUAUGAGAUGAAUGAGUAAAUGAACGGAGCUUGCAUUUGAGAGGCUGAACACAUUGGCAGUGACAUGAAGCACAUGAGAAUGACAGCACUAAACGCAGCGCGCAACCUGGGAAAGAGGCUGAAAAAAUACCUACUCAGCCACGACACUCCCUGUAGGGCAAGCUUAUCUGUGUGCUUACUUGGAAGCUCUUGCUUACUUAGAAGCUCCAGAGCCAGACGUCUCUUCGACCAGGAGACUGCCUCGAGAGAUAACAAAUUAUAACCUAAAGUAUGCCCAUGAUGAAACUCACUCCCACUUGGAGAGUAUCUCAAGACUCUGGCCACCUUACCACCUAGUUCUGCCCGCGAGGGCACCAGCUCAACCACCUGGUAGAUAAAGCACCAAAGCAAGUCAUUGAGACCCCCACUGGCUCACCCCCUCCCCUGCAUGCCAUUCAUGUCAAGUCCCCCUUUGAAAACCCUUGCUUUUUUGCCCCAAAAGUGAAGCAGUACCCUUAAAGGCAGAAGCCUGUACUUCUCCCCCUCAACAAAGCUUUGGAAUAAAAGUUACAAGAUCAAGUUUUCUAAAACUUUUUGAAACUCAAUCAUUCAAAUUAUUUUGUACAUUUUAGGAUCAUGUUGAAUUGGGAGGUGAGAGUCGACAAUUACAAAUCAUAAAAUCACAAAAGUAUUAAAACAUUUGAAUGGAGAACCAGACUCAGAAAAAUUAUAGUCUUUUAGUACACAUAUUCUCUGGAACAAAGCAACAUAUAUUUGUAAGAAUUUCAGAGUACAUAUGAAAAAAGGUACUGACAAGCUUUUAAUAAGGCAAGAAAGAGUAACUAAAAAUCAACAUAUAUCCUUUAUUAAAUUUACAUGUUUAAAAUGACAUUGUUACCUUGGUUUUUGGCCUGUGAUUUUUAUUUUUUAACAUAAUCCACUUAAAACAAACAAAAAAAAACAGACGUGUUUAACUUCCAGCUUUAAUAGAGUAGGUUGUAGCAGACUGGUUCUGAUGAGGGAAAUUAGAAAAGCCAGAUAAAAUUUUUAAACAUCUGUG
rnacentral:lncRNA from 1 species